AAAAAGGGUAAAAAGAAAAAGGAGGGAAUAGUAGGAAAUAACCUAUAUGUGAUUAUCUAUUUUCAAUUCUAAGUGGCUUGGUAUAGGUUUAGGCAGGCUACCUGGAAAGAAAGAAAUAAAGAAGCAGAAUGUACUGAGCCACCCCCUCCACCUUCCUUCUUUCCCUUUCACCCAGUGGCCAGGCAUCUAUCGGUGGGGGCCCCCUCAUCUACCCCUUCCCCACUCCACAAAGAAAUUUAGUUUAAGCUAGCUUGCAACAUAGAUAAUUGUACCCUUUCUUAUCAGCUAAGUGCAGCCACUAGAGCCGUAAGUCAAAUGUUUGAAAAAUCCUGAGAGUCAUAAUGCAUCGUGUGCUGCAAUAAAAUGCAGCAGAAAGACCCUAAAGAAUGUACUUGAAGAACAAUCAAUAGGUGAUGUCUAGGAAGAUUGUGGAAGGCUAGUACUCAGCCUAUGAGGAACUGAGGGAGGGACCUGUGCACUAGGGCGUAAAUUGCUUGUUGAAACUGUGCUGGGUGUGCCUGCAUGCCAGACACCCGAUCUUGCAAGACCGUCAUUAAAAGUCUCACUUUCGCUGUUCUCUGGGUCU
rnacentral:lncRNA from 10 species